UGGUCUAUUAGCUCAGUCGGUAGAGCACCUGACUUUUAAGCAGGGGGUCACAGGUUCGAGCCCUGUUGGUCCCACCA
rnacentral:tRNA from 1 species